rnacentral:lncRNA from 1 species
GCAGUUUCAACUAACCGCUCCACCAGCUGGUGGCUCGAUGACCCGUCCUUUAAGACCGUGACCCAGGCACCUGCGUAGGAUCGUUGUUCCCGGUUGUGCGCGCCAAAAAAAGAGGAAAGGAGAGCAGAGCGCCGCCGUGAGAGAAAUUCCAUCCGACCGCCGAUUUGACCCUGCGAACCAGACCAAAGAGGGAGCGUAGGGAGCGGGGGAAGAAGCGCGUUGGAGCCCCUCACCGUGGGAGGGCCUAGAUAAACAACAAUUUCUCGCCGGAGUUGUUCAUCGUCGUGGAGCCGCCUCGCGCCGUUGGGCAACUCGACUUCGCUUCAAUCACGGGUGAGGACCUCCUUCUCGGAUCCGAUAUUGUCUAGGCUUCAAUUAGCGCUUAGAAUAAAUUAGAAUCGUGCGCCGUGUGCCGGGCAUGCCGUGCGCCAGUGGUAGCGCCGCCGCGGGGCCAUGUUCUCAUCGUCCGAUCGGGUGGAGGUGAGGGGUGAGCCAGGUACCGUGGAUCCUUUAUUUACGGCUAAGAUUAGCGUAGCCUUACCCUUUCUUUCGCCCGAGACAUGGCCAUUGAUCUGGUGAUCCUCGGCCAAUAAUGGGUCGCUAGUGUUUUAAAUCGUUGCUGUCGAUCUCCGAUCGGUCGGUCCAGGAGCGGUUUCUGUUACUUAAAAGCCCCAUCUUAGAUCUCGGAUCCGACGGUCAGUUUUGUGUAUCGGUUCGUUUGGGAUUCUAUCUAAUCUGAGUCAUUGGUGGGUGAUCGGAUGGCUGUGAUUAGGGGAUGCCUUGGGCCGUGAGAGUUUUGCGUAUGAGCCCUCGGGGAAGAUACAAACUAACCCGCCAUCCACGGUUGUCUUAGAAUCAUUACCAAGAAGUCUUAGUUCUUAUAAACCAACACCUGGAUUUUCUAGGAAUAGUGCCCGCCACCCAAUGCUUUGAGGAAGCAAUAAAUAAAUUAAAGAAAUUGAUUUUUAGCAUAAAAUUUAUUCACCAACUUUAGGAAAUUCAUAACUUCUUUAAUUUAGCGCCAAAUUGAUCCAUUCCAGUUGCAUUAGACUCAUAUUAAUAUUGUCUAUCAGUUAGUAACCUUAUUUUACCAUGUAACAUAGAGAUUAAAUCAAGCACUCAUUUUGUUUUAUAUUUAGCACCUAAAUAUUCAGAAAAUCAUAACUCUUAAACCGUAACUCCGAAUUUAGUGGUUCUUGAACCUAGGAUCUCAUUAUGAUGCGUAGAAUAUUAUCAUGCAUCAUGUUCUGAUGUUUGGUGUGAUGUUAAUUUCUCCUCGCCAUGUCUGUUUGUAUUGUUGCGAGUAGACGAGCAAGCAAUUGAGGAGCCCGGUACUCAACAGGUGGAAAAUACUGAGCAAGAGCUCAUUGAAGGCAAGUUGUGCCCUUGACCACUUUUAUUUACCCAAUAAUGUUCUCUAUAAUCAAUUUGGCAUGCUUAGGCUUAAUUUUGAUGGGAUCCAAUAGGUCACCCUAGUUUGGUCAUCUUUAUACCUUGUUUACCACUGAACUUUUUGGGUACUAUUUGCUAUUACUAUAUGUGGUUUUGGGUAUUAAGAUAAUUAUUAUUUAUGAUCAUGCUUUAUUAUUGUUGUUUUAUUCUAUUCAUGAUAAGACUAUUGUGUUAAUUGGAACAUAUAGCUUAACUUGAGAUAAACGUGCCACCACAAGGGUGGAAUGGGACGCCUUGGCUGACUAAUUAGGAAAGUUGGUGGAGGUCUACCUUACCCGAAAGGGGCUAGGGCGGUAGGGGAGUUGUUGGUGUAGGGAGGUUCUCGGGUUGAUUGUGUUGCGAUCGCUCUCCUCAGAAACCGUAGCGGGUUUUAUGAAGCUAGUGGAACUUUGUGAAGGCCUCGUAGUGUUACCCUGCCUUGUCUCCUCGGUAGAGAUGAAUGGGACUUCUAGACCCCUUGGCAACUGGGUAGCAUGAUGACGGCGUUUUGACCCCGGGGGGGGGGUCCCUGGACCGACGAGUAAAUUGUCGCUGCGUGUCCCAGCCCAGAUGGGUUGGUGCGAGAUGGAUCACAAGGGGAAAACAGCAAGGGGAAACCGUGGCCUCGUGUUGUCCUGCGCCCAGGGCGGAUGCGCUUGCAGUAGGGAGUUACAAGCGUUCGCGAGGGAGAGAGAGAGAGAGCGAGAGCCUCGUGCGUCAGCCCGUUCUCCCGCGUGGCCACCCUCUCAUACGAGGGCCCUGGACCUUCCUUUUAUAGUUGUAAGGAGAAGGCCCAGGUGUACAAUGGGGGGUGUAGCAAUGUGCUAACGUGUCUAGCAGAGGGAACCCAAAGUCCUAUGUACAGGUCGACGUGGCUGUCGGAGAGGUUUUGGCGCCCUGUUCAUGUGAUGUCGUGGCCGUCGGAGGAGCGCUUGAGCCCUGUAGGAGCACAGCUGUCGGGUCCUUGCUGACGUCUCCUUGCUUCCGUAGGGGGUUGAGUACCGCCGUCGUCACGGAGCACGCGGGGUGCCAUCAUUACUUGUUUUACCGGGACGAGCCAGAUGGGACAUCGGUCUUGUUCCCCGUAGCCUGAGCUAGCUAGGGGUAGGGUAAUGAUGGCCCCCCUAUGACGUGGUCGGUCUGAGCCCGAGGUCGGGCGAGGCAGUGACUCCUCCGAGGUCGAGGCUGAGUCCAAGCCCUAGGGUCGGGCGAGGCGGAGACCGUCUUCCAAUGUCGAGGUUGAGUCCGAGCCUUGGGGUCGGGCGAGGCGGAGACCGUCUUCCGGAGACGAGGUUGAGUCUGAGCCCUAGGGUCGGGCGAGGCGGAGACCGUCUUCCGAGGUCGAGGUGGAGUCCGAGCCCUGGGGUUGAGCGAGGCGGAGACCGUCUUCCGGUGUCGAGGUUGAGUCCGAGCCCUAGGGUCGGGCGAGGCGGAGACCAUCGUCCGAGGUCGAGGUUGAGUUCGAGCCCUAGGGUCGGGCGAGGCGGAGACCGUCGUCCGAGGUUGAGGUUGAGUCCGAGCCAUGGUGUCGGGCGAGGCGGAGACCGUCGUUCGAGGUCGAGGUUGAGUCCGAGCCCUGGGGUCGAGCGAGGCGGAGACCGUCUUCCGGUGUCGAGGUGGAGUUCGAGCCCUGGGGUCGGGCGAGGCGGAGACCGUAUUCCGGUGUCGAGGUUGAGUCCGAGCCCUGGGGUCGGGCGAGGCGGAGACUGUCUUCCGGUGUCGAGGUUGAGUCCGAGCCAUGGGGUCGGGUGAGGCGGAGCUUCCUAUGGCGCCUGAGGCCGGACUUGGCGGCUGUCAGCCUCACCCUGACGGGUGGCACAACAGUCGAAGCAGCGCAGGCGGCGCUAUUUUCUUGUCAGGUCAGCCAAUGGAGGGGCGAAGUGACUGCGGUCACUUCGGCUCUGUCGACUGAAGUGCGUGCGUCAGGAUAAGGUGUCAAGUGAUCCUUGCAUUGAAUGCUCCUGCGAUCCGGUCGGUUGGCAUAGCGAUCUGGCCAAGGUUGCUUCUCCGCGAAGCCUGCCCGAGCUGGGCCUCGGGUGAGUCGAAGGUGCACCCGUUGCUUGAGGAGACCCUCGGGCGAGACGUGAAUCCUCCUGGGUCGGCUAUCUUUGCCCGAGGAUGGGCUCGGGCGAGGCGAGAUUGUGUCCCUUGAGUGGACGGAGCCUUGACCUGAAUUGCGCCCAUCAGGAGUCUUGGGGGUACCCCUAAUUAUGGUCCCCGACAGUAGCCCCCGAGCCUCAAAGGGAGUGUGGGUACUCGCUUGGAGGCUUUGUCGCACUUUUUUGCAAGGGGACUAGCAUCUCUCGGUUGCAUUUUGUUCCGGUGGGUGAGCGCGAGCGCACCCGCCGGGUGUAGCCCCCGAGGCCUCGGAGGAGUGGUUUGACUCCUCCGAGGUCUUAGCGCUUUUCGUGACGCCUCGGCCGGUCUGGUUGUUCCCUCAUGCGAACUGGUCGUUGCCCGGGUGCAUAGUCAGGUUCCGAGUUCUCGGGCCGGUAUGUUGCUUUGUCAACGGUUUGGCCGGAGCCGGGUUUGCGAGAGCAGCCCCCGAGCCUCCGCACAGAGCGAGAGGACGGUCAAGGACUGACUCGGCUUUUAUCAUACGCCCCUUCGUCGCCUUUCCGUAAGGAGGAGGGGGGAAAGCGCCAUGUUGCCCUCGGAGGGCACCGAACAUGGUGUCUCCAGUGAGUUGCUAACGAGUGAUCCGAGUGGACGCCCGUGCCCCGUUGGAUAAGGGUCGGCUAGUGGCCCAGAGGCACGCUCCAAAAGUACCUGCAGGUGAUUUGCCGGACCCGGUCCCGUUUGAUAGGGUCAUGCCUCCCUCUGAUGGGAUUCCGUUACAUAAUCGCUCCUGCUGGUCUCGGAAAUGUCAUAGGGUACCUCGGGAGCGUAGCCCGAGCCUCGGCCAUGUAUCGGACGUACCCAGAGUCAUCCCUCGCUCUGCAUGCUCUGAGGCGGCUGUCGAACCCUUCGGGGGCCAGCCUACGAACCCCUGAUCAGUAGUGGGCGCGGAGCCCGAGUGGCUUGAGGCGGCCGUCGAACCCUUCCGAGGGGCCAGCCUUCGAACAUCUGACCAGUAGUGGGCGCGGAGCUCGAGUGCUCUAAGGCGGCCGUCGAACCCUUCCGAGGGGCCAGCCUUCGAACCUCUGAUUAGUAGCAGGGCUCGGGGCCCGCUUCCCUCGCGGAGAAGGAUCCCUUUUGGAGUAUCCCCUUUCCCGGUCCCUGUAGCAAGAGAUAGAAAGGGGAAGGGGAAAAGGAUACGAAAUUGAACGACGUGGCGUACCUUUUUUGACGCGGUCAUCAUGGCGGAGGUGAAGCGUCGCCCGCUUUGCAUGCCAAAGGUGUCGCGCGCCUUGCCGCGGAGUUAAUGCGACGGGACGAGUGGUUCGCGGGGCAGCCAUCGCGCGUGCCAUUCGAGGAACGGGCGUUUCGCCUUCGAGUUUUGAAUUUCACAGCGGGUUCGGGCGAAGUGUUGAACGGGUCUCGCCUGGGCCUUUAUAUAUUUGGAAGAGGGACCAGUGGUGGUUCUUUACUCUGCUGCUCGCCUCCCGCUUAGGUUUCCGCAAACCUAAGGGAAUAGCCAGAGAAAUAAAACCGCGCACCUGUCCGCUCCGCCGCCAUCUCCUUCGCUUGGGGAUGGCCGACCGGGUAACCCUCGUUCCGCCGCGCGACCUGUGGCCUUUCUCCACCGUCACGGUGGAUGAUUUGGAGGCCCUUGUUGCCGAUGGCUUGCUUCGUCCCCUCUCUGGUGAUCCACAGCCGGAGUGGAUGGCCCCUCUGAGCGGAGUCGCCCCGUCCCCGCCGUCGGGGUAUGUGCUGAGUUUCGUCUCUUUCCAUGAGCGGGGGAUCAGAGUGCCAGCAAGUCGUUUCAUGCGAGCGAUUCUGCAUUUCUACGGGGUGGAGCUGCACAAUCUCAGCCCCAACUCCAUCGCGCAAGCAGCCAUCUUCGCGGCGGUUUGCGAAGGGUUUUUGGGGAUUGACCCCCACUGGGAUCUAUGGACCCAUCUCUUCUCCACAGAGCCUUUUGCCUUGACAACGAGGGAAAGGAGAGUUCGCAUGGCGGUGCGGGCCGGUGGCUACAUCCUCCAGUUGAGGCAGGCGCGUGCGCAACAGUACAUCCCCGCCAUCCUUGUAUCUUCGAACAAGGGGUGGCAGCGCCGGUGGUUUUACCUUCGGAAUGACGAUAGGAGGCUCCCAUCGUUUUCUCAACGAGUGGUGACCGCCGCCCGUAGCAACUGGCGCUAUGGGGCCCCGCGCGACAGACAGAAGAAUCUCCAGCCUCUUCUAGAGGCCUUGCAGGAGCUGUGAGACGGAGGGCUUACCGCCGUGGGGGUGGUCGCCGCCAUCCAUCGCCGGAGGGUGCUCCCCUUGACGGAGCGGUGGCUGCUGCUUUCGGAGAUGACGCGGGGGGUCGACUUGGAGGGUUCGCAGAUGUCCUCGGUCCCCUCCCCGCCGAUGACCUCCACAGGCGAGUAGCCGGCACGGUAGGAAAGCUGGACGCCGGUGCCCUUACCCAGCCCUCGAUGCGUCCCGAGCGCGGGUGCAUAUCCCUGGUGAGUGUCCGCUCCUUCUUCCUUCUUGUGUCAGAUUGCCCUUGGUUCUCACAGCCGAGACUUUUCGUCCGUCUCCAGGAGGUGGGGUUUCACAAGCCUUUCCUGCCACCGAUCCCGGAGGACGCGGUGGACUGAGCCGUGCGGAGGGUUGCUGCGGAGAAGAGGAAGGAGAAGAAGGACGCGAAGAAGGCUCGGGCCCGCGAGCGGACGUGGGCUCGGGAUGCCUUGGAGAAGCGUCGUCGGCGGCAGGAGAGGGACGGGCUGCCGAGGGAGCCGUCGCCGGAGACGCCUGACGACGACAAUGACGAUGACGACGAGGACGACGACACGGCGGCCCGCCUCGGCCUCAGCCCAGAUCUGCGGCUGGGCCCGGGGUCGUCGAGCAAGCCCCCGAGUGGGCUGGCGCCGUCAGUAUCUAGGGCCGGGGCAUCAGGGUCCCGGUCCGAAGAACAGGGGCAGGCCGAAGGUGUACUUGACCCCUUGGCCGAGGUGGUUGAGGUGACCCCGGGGAGUCAGGCCGACCCGCCUAUCCCUGAAGAGUCGUUGCUCGUGCCGGCAGCACAGGAGGCUGAUCCUUAGGUCGCCGUGUCUGCGCCUGGGCGGACCGUCCCUUCGACGCCCCGGGCGCCCGAGGCAGGGAUGGUGCCGAAGCCGGCAGCGGAGCAAACCUUGGUGGUGCCCGCGGGGAUCGAGGCUCGAGGGGCCUCCCCGCAGGCACGAUUGGUCGUGGCCCAGAGUGGGUAAGUAUCUGAGGAUACCUCUAUCCCGGUUCCUUCUUCGUAUGUCCUGAUCCUGCCUUUCCUUUUCCUCCCAGCAAACAGAGGCACGGCUCGACCGGUCUGGCUCCCCAGAAGGUCCUCAAGACGGUGUCGGCUUCUGCAGCCAGUGCCGCACCGGGCCUCGCCGGCCGGCUGACCUCCUCACAAGAUGCCCCAAAGCGGGGGGCUCAGGCGACACGAGUUGUCGUGGGGUGGGCUCCUCAGGCCGACCCCUCUGCUGAGGCGGCCGUCAUGCCGGGGGAGACUACCGGCGUGGCCGUGGCCUUCACACCACCUGUCGUGUUGCCUACGCCGGCACCAGCCUCGGCCGAGGCUGUUGCCGUUCUACCCGUGGGGCCAUCCGUCGCUGUCGAUGCUGAGAUGGCUGAGGCGCUGCUACCCGAGGCUGGUGAUCGGAGGCCUGCCCCCUUAGUCGAGGAGGUGCUUGAUGCGUCGACCACAGGGGGUGACGACGCCUUGGAGGAGGGGGCGCAGAACCGCGGCCCGUCCUGGGGAGCGGCGACCUCAUCCUCGCGCGGCGAGGUCCCAAUGAACGGCGUGGGGAGAGGCUCCAGUUCUGGACCCGUGGUGCCUCGAAACCCCUCUUUGUUCUUGACGAUGAGCGAGAGGAGCAGGCUUGGGAUGAGCUUCGUGAGUGUGCCGAGGCAAUGGUGGGGUCGCUUCGGUCGACCCUAGAGGUCCUUUCCAGGGACGUUCCCAGGAUCCACUAGGUAAGGAUGUCAGGCAUACCUUUCAUAUGAUCAAGGCAUUCUUUGUGACUCCCCGCUUCCCUUCCUCAGGAUCUGACGGAUCUGAGCACCGCCAAGUCGUCGUUCGUCCGCCGCGAGGCCGACGUCUGGGGUUCGUUGCGGUUCCUGAGGACCACGCUUGCCGAGGCUACCGAGCGCCUCUCCCAACAGAGCGCCGAGGUGGCGGACCUUCAGUUGCUCUAUGACGAGCUGGGGGCAGAGGCAGCGGCGGCGCGCGCAGAGGCGCAGCGGCGGCAGUUGGAGCUUGGCCAGGUCAUCGGUGAGCGGGACCAAUCUCAGGGCCGGGCCGCCGAGGCUGAAAGCCGGGCUGAGGCCCUUGGAGGCCAACUAGCCGAGGCGUCUGCUCGGUCCGGAGCCCUUGCGGCGGACCUGGCCGUGGCCGUCGGGUCUGCUCAGUCCGCCCAAGCUGCAGCCUCGGAGCAGCGUGCCCGGGCCGAAGGUAUGUCUUGGCUGUUUUGAGAUUUUGAUUCAGCUUCAUUCUUCAACUCGUGUUUGAAGACUUCUGCUUCGGCUGUUUGCAGAGCUCGAGUCUGCCCUCAACGAGUCCGCCAAGGCACUUGCCCAGGCGGCUGAGCAGAAGGAGGCCGACCGCGUGGCCAUGUCCAAGGCUGUCUCGGCCUUCUGCCAGAUCUUUGGUCUUGACGACGUCCCCUCGGGGAGCUCCCCCCAGAGUCGCCUGCAGGCCUUGGGUGACCACGCGCGUGGCAGACUCCGCGAGGCGCUGCGUUAAGGCGUUAGGCGGGCCUUCGCCGUGCUCGCUUCCCACUACGAUGUGGAUCUGGAGCGGGUCAGCGAGGGGUACUGCCUUCCCAACGAAGAUGAAGCUGCCCUGGCCGAAGUUCAGAGGCUUGAUGCGGCCGCCGCGGGCCCAAGCGUGGUGUUGGCGUCCACUUUCGAGGUGGAGAUCCUUCCGCUUGCGCCGCCGUCCGAGGGCGGGGCGGAUCUCGCUGAGGGUGGAAACGAAGCCGAGGGUGCAACUCCUCCCCCGGGCGAUGCCUGAUUCUGCCGGAGCAGUUUAUUUUGAAUAUGUAUGUGUCUUUCGCGGCCGCCGAGGCCUAAACACCUUGUCGUCGUGAUAUAAAGCUGUGUCUCUUUUCCUCCUGUUUCGCGUAUCUGAACUUGUUCGUCAGUAGCAGGAUCGCUUACCCAAGUAAGACUUAUUUUUCGUGGUAGGUGACGAGUGAGGUAUCCGUAUCCCGGAGGCGUAGGAGUCCCUUGGCUCGGUCGACCUUGCCGUUUACAUGCACUCUUAUUCGUUUCUUGGGGUUCUGUUACUGAUAUAGCCGGAAAACACGAAAGUCGUUUUGGUGGAAUACUUUUUCCGAGGAAAAUUUUGACGCAGAGGGGGUUCCCCCCUUCUAGCCCCCGAGGGAGGGUCGGGCUUUGCCGAGGCAAGGCUGACCCUUCCUUGAUGGUUAGGCUUUAUUUGUGUAUGUAAACAAGGUAUAUGAACGACUUGAAAACAUCUUAAGGGUAGAAGCGACGUAGCUGUCGGAUGUUCCAAGCGUUGCUGUAGACCUCGCCUUGACUGUUGGCCAGCUUGUAUGUUCCGGGCUUCAAAAUCUUGGCGAUGAUGAACGGCGCUUCCCAGGGAGGUGUGAGCUUGUGGUGCCCUCGGGCGUCUUGUCGUAGCCGGAGCACCAAGUCCCCCACCUGGAGGUCUCGGGACCGAACCCCUCGGGCGUGGUAACGUCGCAGGGACUGCUGAUACAGUGCCGAGUGUAGUAAGGCUACGUCCCGAGCCUCUUCCAGCUGGUCCAGUGAGUCUUCUCGGUUGGUCCGGUUGCUUCGGUCAUCGUACGCCCUCGUCCUCGGGGAUCCGUAUUCUAAGUCUGUGGGCAAGAUAGCCUCGGCCCCAUAGAGUAGAAAGAACGGCGUGAAACCCGUGGCUCGACUUGCCGUCGUUCUCAGACUCCAGACCACCGAGGGGAGUUCCUUCAUCCAUCGCCUGCCGAAUUUGCUGAGGUCGUUGUAGAUCCGUGGCUUGAGUCCUUGCAGAAUCAUGUCGUUGGCACGCUCUACCUGCCCAUUCGUCAUGGGGUGAGCUAUGGCGGCCCAGUCCACCCGGAUGUGGUGGUCCUCGUAGAAGUCCAUGAACUUUCUGCUAGUGAACUGGGUGCCGUUGUCGGUGAUGAUGGAGUUCGGGACCCCAAAGCGAUGGAUGAUAUUGGUGAAGAACGCCAUCGCCUAUUCGGACCUGAUGCUGUUUAGGGGUCGGACCUCAAUCCACUUGGAGAAUUUGUCGAUAGCGACCAGCAGGUGCGUGUAGCCCCCGGGUGCCUUCCGCAAGGGACCGACAAGGUCCAGACCCCACACUGCAAACGACCAGGUGAUGGGUAUUGUUUGCAAGGCCUGAGCGGGUAGGUGUGUCUGCCUUGCGUAGAAUUGACACCCUUGGCAGGUGCGUACAAUCCUAGUGGCGUCGGCCACCGCGGUUGGCCAGUAGAAACCGUGUCGGAAGGCGUUUCCAACAAGGGCCCAGGGCGCUGCGUGAUGACCGCAAGCCCCCGCGUGUAUUUCUUGCAAUAGUUCCUGACCUUCGGCGAUGGAUAUGCAUCGCUGGAGGAUGCCUGAGGGGCUGCGGUGGUAGAGCUCCUUUCCGUCACCCAGCAAGAUGAACGACUUGGCGCGCCGCGCCAGUCGCUGAGCUUCGGCUCUGUCGAGGGGUAGCUCUCCUCGGUGGAGAUAUUGCAGGUACGGGGUCUGCCAGUUUCGAUUAGGCAUGACCCCAUUCCGCUCUUCCUCGACGCGCAGUGCCUCACCCUCGGGGGCCGAGGGUGCCUCGGGCUGAGCCGAGGGCGCCUCGGGCAGUGCCGAGACCUUCUCGGGCUCGGGCGUGUCGUCGGUCUUGACUGAGGGUUGAUGUAGGUCUCGGGAGAAGACGUCCGGAGGAACCGUUGUCCGCCCCGAGGCUAUCUUAGCCAGCUCGUCCGCAGUCUCGUUGUAUCGUCGAGCGAUGUGAUUGAGCUCGAGCCCGUAGAACUUGUCCUCCAGGCGCCGAACCUCGUCGCAGUAGGCUUCCAUCUUCGGGUCGUGGCAAUGGGAGUUCUUCAUGACUUGGUCGAUGACAAGCUGCGAGUCGUCCCGAGCGUCGAGGCGCCGGACCCCUAGCUCGAUGGCGAUGCACAACCCGUUAACUAGAGCCUCGUACUCAGCCACGUUGUUGGACGCCGGGAAAUGGAGGCGCAGCACGUAGCGGAGGUGCUUCCCGAGGGGUGAGAUGAAGAGCAGGCCCGCACCCGCUCCUGUUUUCAUCAACGACCCGUCGAAAAAUAUGGUCCAGAGUUCCGGUUGGAUCGGAGCUGCUGGAAGCUGGGUGUCGACCCAUUCAGCCACAAAGUCCACCAGGACUUGGGACUUGAUGGCCUUCCGAGGGGCGAACGAGAUUGUCUCGCCCAUGAUCUCCACCGCCCACUUUGCAAUCCUACCCGAGGCCUCUCGGCAAUGAUCCCCCCAGGGGGAAGGAUGACACCACAGUCACCGAAUGAGACUCGAAGUAGUGUUGCAACUUUCACCGCGUCAGAAUUACCACGUACAGUAGCUUCUGAUUUUGCGGGUAGCGGAUUUUGGUCUUGGACAGUACCUCACUGAUGAAGUAGACCGGCCUCUGGACGGGCAAUGCGUGCCCCUCUUCUCGUCUCUCGACCACGAUCGCGGCGCUGACCACCUAAGUGGUAGCUGCGACGUAGAUCAAGAGGACUUCUCCGGCAGCGGUGGGGGGCACCAGGAUGGGCGCGCUUGUAAGGAGCGCCUUUAAGUUCCCGAGGGCUUCCUCGGCCUCGAGGGUCCAAGUGAAGCGCACAGUCUUCCUUAAGAGGCGGUACAGAGGUAGGCCUCUUUCGCCAAGGCGCAAGAUGAAGCGGCUCAGAGCCGCAAGGCAUCCCAUGACCCUCUUUACUCCUUUCAAGUCCUUGAUAGGCCCCAAGUUGGUGAUGGCCGCGAUUUUCUCCGGGUUGGCCUCGAUGCCCCGCUCGGAGACGAUGAACCCCAGGAGCAUGCCCCGGGGGACUCCGAAGACACAAUUCUCAGGAUUGAGUUUUACGCCUUUCACCUUGAGACACUUGAAUGUCGUUUCAAGGUCUGAGAGGAGGUCGGAGGCUUUCCUCGUCUUGACUAUGAUGUCAUCGACGUAAGCCUCGACCGUUCGACCAAUGUGCUCUCCGAACACGUGGUUCAUGCACCUUUGGUAUGUCGCACCCGCAUUCCUCAAACCGAAUGGCAUAGUAAUGUAGCAGUACAUGCCAAAGGGUGUGAUGAAAGAAGUCGCGAGCUGGUCGGACUCUUUCAUCCUGAUUUGGUGAUACCCUGAGUAGGCAUCGAGGAAAGACAGGGUUUCACACCCCAGCAGUGGAAUCCACGAUUUGAUCGAUGCGAGGCAGAGGGUAGGGAACUUUCGGACAUGCUUUGUUUAGACCAGUGUAGUCUACACACAUCCGCCAUUUCCCGCCUUUCUUUCUCACAAGCACAGGGUUGGCUAGCCAUUCGGGAUGGAAUACCUCUUUGAUGAACCCUGCAGCCAUCAGCUUGUGGAUCUCCUCGCCUAUGGCUCUGCGCUUUUUUUCGUCGAAUCGGCGCAGAUGCUGCUUCACGGGUCGGGCUCUAGCUCGGAUAUCCAGCGAGUGCUCGGCGACAUCCCUCGGUAUGCCAGGCAUGUCCGAGGGACUCCACGCAAAAACCUCGACGUUCGUGCGGAGAAAGUCGACGAGCACUGCUUCCUAUUUGGGGUCGAGCUCGGAGCCGAUCCGGACUUGCUUGGAGGCGUCGUUGUUGGGGUCGAGAGGGACGGACUUAACCGCCUCUACUGGCUCGAAGUUGCCGGCGUGGCGCUUCGCAUUUGGCGCCUCCUUGGAAAGGCUCUCCAGGUCGGCGAUGAGGGCCUCGGAUUCGGCGAGGGCCUCGGCGUACUCCACGCACUCCACGUCGCAUUCGUAUGCGUGUCGGUACGUGGAGCCGACGGUGAUGACUCUGUUGGGGCCCGACAUCUUGUGCUUGAGGUAGGUGUAGUUGGGGACGACCAUGAACUUGGCGUAGCAUGGUCUCCCCAGCACUGCGUGGUAGGUUCCUCGAAACCCGACCAUCUCGAACGUGAGGGUUUCCUUUCGGAAGUUGGAGGGAGUCCCGAAGCAGACGGGCAUAUCGAGUUGCCCAAGGGGUUGGACGCAUUUCCCGGGGAUGAUCCCGUGAAAGGGUGCCGCGCCGGCCCGGAUCGAGGACAGAUCGAUCUGUAGGAGCCCGAGGGUCUCGGCGUAGAUGAUGUUGAGGCUGUUGCCUCCGUCCAUGAGGACCUUGGUAAGCCUGACGUUGCCGAUGACGGGGUCGACAACGAGCGGGUACUUUCCCGGGCUCGGCACGCGGUCGGGAUGGUCGCCUUGGUCGAAGGUGAUGGGGUGUCGGACCAGUCUAGGUAGACUGGCGCCGCCACCUUCACCGAGCAGACCUCCCGGUGCUCUUGCUUGCGGUGCCGAGCCGAGGCGUUCGCCACUUGCCCACCGUAGAUCAUGAAGCAGUCGUGGACCUCGGGGAACUCUUCUGCCUUGUGGCCCUCCUUCUUGUCGUUGUCGUGGGCUCUGCCACCUUCCGCCGGUGGCCCGGCCUUAUGGAAGUAGCGCCGAAGCAUGACACACUCCUCAAGGGUGUGCUUGACGGGACCCUGAUGAUAGGGGCACGACUCCUUGAACAUCUUGUCGAACAGGUUGGCGCCUCCAGGAGGCUUCCGAGGGUUCCUAUGCUCGGCGGUGGUGACAAGGUCUGCGUCGGCGGCAUCGCGUUUCGCUUGACUUCUUCUUGCCCUUCUUCUUGGUGCCGCACUGAGCGGACGCCUCGGGGACGUCUUCCGGCUGGCGCCCCUGAGGCUGCUUGUCCUUUCGAAAGAUGACCUCGACCGCCUCCUGACCAGAGGCGAACUUGGUGGCGAUGUCCAUCAACUCGCUCGCCCUGGUGGGAGUCUUGCGACCCAGCUUGCUCACCAGGUCGUGACAAGUGGUGCCGGCGAGGAACGCGCCGAUGACGUCCGAGUCGAUGAUGUUGGGCAGCUCGGAGCGCUGCUUCGAAAAUCGCCGGAUGUAGUCCCGUAGAGACUCUCCCGGCUGCUGGUGGCAGCUUCGGAGAUCCCAGGAGUUCCCAGGGCGCACGUAUGUGCCCUGGAAGUUGCCGGUGAAGGCUUUGACCAGGUCGUCCCAGCUGGAGAUCUACGCAGGAGGCAGAUGCUCCAGCUAGGCUUAGGCGGCGUCGGAGAGAAACCGGGGGAGGUUGCGGAUGAUGAGGUUGUCAUCGUCCAUUCCACCCAGCUGGCAAGCUAGCCAGUAGUCCACGAGCCAUAGUUCCGGCCUUGUCUCCCCCGAGUACUUGGUGAUGGUAGUCGGGGUUCGGAACCGGGUCGGGAACGGCGCCCGUCGUAUGGCCCGGCUGAAAGCUUGCGGACCGGGUGGUUCGGGCGAGGGGCUCCAAUCCUCCCCGCUGUCGUAGCGUCCCCCACGCCUGGGGUGGUAGCCUCGGCACACCUUAUUGUCGAGGUGGGCUCGACGGUCCCGGCGAUGGUGCUCGCUGCCGAGGCGACCCGGGGCCGCAGGCGCUGUGUCCCGCGUGCGCCCGGUGUGGACCGAGGCUUCCCGCAUGAAUCGGGAAGUCGCGGCGCGAUGCUCCGGGGGGUAUCCCUGCCUUCGGGAGGCAGAGCUUUCAGCCCGUCGGACCGCGGCAUCUUCCAGGAGAUUCUUGAGCUCUCCCUGGAUACGCCGCCCCUCGGUGGUGGAUGGUUCCGGCAUCGCUCGGAGUAGUAUUGCUGCUGCAGCCAGGUUCUGGCCGACCCCACUGGAAGCUGGGGGCAGCCUUGCCCUGGCAUCGUCGGCGAUGCGGUGCUGGACGUCCUGGGCCAGAUGACGCGCUUCUCCGGCCAAUGCUCGGCCUGCCCACUCCUGCCCAAUGUUUUGCCGGAGCUGCACAAGUUGUCUUGCUUCCUCGUCGAGCCUGGCCUGCAUCUCGCGGAUUUGCUCGAGCUGUGCGUCCUGACCCCCCGCAGGGACUGGGACCACAACUAGCUCCCGAAGGAUGUCAACGCGAGGCAUAGGCCUAGGGGGAUCGCCAUCCUCCGGCAUACCAAGGUGGUUUCCUUCGUCGAUACCCCCUAGAUCGACGUGGAAACAUUCGCGACUUGGGCCACAGUCCUCGUCGCCGAGGCUGUGGCUACUAUUGGAGCAAUCAGAGAGGCAGUAGUCACAUGCGGCCAUGAAGUCCCGCAUGGCACUAGGGUUACCGAGCCCAGAGAAAUCCCAACCAUAGUCGGGCUCGUCAUCUUCCUCGGAACCCGGGGGCCCGUAGGUCGAGACGACCAUCAGUUGGUCCCAGGUUGACCGCAUAUGAUACCCCGGAAGGCUCGGAUAUGCCUUUAUGAAAGCAUCCACCGAAGCGGGGUCGCUUGGUGGGUCGAAGCUGAAUCUAAAAGGCACAGGAUGGAAAACGGACGGUACCUCUUGAUCGACGGAUGGUGACGAAGUCGCGUCAGGGACGGACUGCACCGUCAUCUCAGGUACGAGGCUAACGCCCAGCAAGUCCUUCGCGAGCGUGCUGGCGUCAUCCGUCUGCUUGAGGUUGGCGUGUUGCAGGGAAACGACCCUCGUCUUCGUCGCAUACGCGAGGUCAAUGCCCGACGUGUCCCCCAUUGGGGCGCCGGCGCCGUCGACUCGCUCGACAGCCGACGAGGUGCCGCCUCCUGCUUGGCCAUGCCCGCCCCGCCUCCUCCUCCAUCGGCGGGGAAGGUGACGGGACAGACCCGGAUGUUGCUCUUCCGCCACGCGGGGAAGACGUCGUCGAUUCCGCCGCCGCCGGGCAGGCUGACGGCCGCCAUUGUCGUUGUCGCGCGGUGGAGGAAGGAGUAUCAUGUCGUAGCUGCCGUCAAGGGACAUGAACUCAAGACUCCCGAAACGGAGCAUUGUCCCGGGUUGGAGAGGUUGCUGGAGACUACCCAUCUGGAGCUUGACGAGAAGCUGUUCGUCAACACGCAGCAGGCCCCUACCUGGCGCGCCAACUGUCGGUGUUUCGACCCCGGGGGGUCCCUGGACCGACGAGUAAAUUGUCGCUGCGUGUCCCAGCCCAGAUGGGUCGGCGCGAGACGGAACACAAGGGGGAAAAUAGUAAGGGGAAACCGCGGCCACGUGUUGUCCUGCGCCCAGGAUGGAUGCGCUUGCAGUAGGGGGUUACAAGCGUUCGCGAGGGAGAGAGAGAGCGAGAGCCUCGUGUGUCAGCCCGUUCUCCCGUGCGGCCACCCUCUCGUACGAGGGCCCUAGACCUUCCUUUUAUAGUUGUAAGGAGAAGGCCCAGGUGUACAAUGGGGGGUGUAGCAAUGUGCUAACGUGUCUAGCAGAGGGAAGCCAGAGUCCUAUGUACAGGCCGACGUGGCUGUCGAAGAGGUUUUGGCGCCCUGUUCAUGUGAUGUCGUGGCCGUCGGAGGAGCGCUUGAGCCCUGUAGGAGCACAGCUGUCGGAGCUGUCGGGUCCUUGCUGACGUCUCCUUGCUUCCGUAGGGGGCUGAGAACCGCCGUCGUCAUGGAGCACGCGGGGUGCCAUCAUUACUUGUUUUACCGGGACGAGCCAGAUGGGACGCCGGUCUUGUUCCCCGUAGCCUGAGCUAGCUAGGGGUAGGGUAAUGAUGGCCCCCUGUGACAUGGUCGAUCUGAGCCCGAGGUCGGGCGAGGCAGUGACUCCUCCGAGGUCGAGGCUGAGUCCAAGCCCUGGGGCCGGGCGAGGCGGAGACCGUCUUCCGGUGUCGAGGUUGAGUCCGAGCCCUAGGGUCGGGCGAGGCGGAGACCGUCUUCCGGAGUCGAGGUUGAGUCCGAGCCCUGGGGUCGGGCGAGGCGGAGACCGUCUUCUGAGGUCGAUUGUGGAGUCCGAGCCCUGGGGUCGAGCGAGGCGGACACCGUCUUCCGGUGUCGAGGUUGAGUCGGAGCCCUGGGGUCGGGCGAGGCGGAGACUGUCGUCCGAGGUCGAGGUUGAGUCCGAGCCCUAGGGUCGGGCGAGGCGGAGACCGUCGUCCGAGGUCGAGGUUGAGUCCGAGCCCUGGGGUCGGGCGAGGAGGAGACCGUCGUCCGGUGUCGAGGUGGAGUUCGAGCCCUGGAGUCGGGCGAGGCGGAGACCGUCUUCCGGUGUCGAGGUUGAGUCCGAGCCCUGGGGUCGGGCGAGGCGGAGACCGUCUUCCGGUGUCGAGGUUGAGUCCGAGCCCUGGGGUCGGCGAGGCGGAGCUUCCUAUGGCGCCUGAGGCCGGACUUGGCGGCUGUCAGCCUCACCCUGACGGGUGGCACAGGAGUCGAAGCAGCGCAGGCGAGGCUGUUUUCCUGUCAGGUCAGCCAGUGGAGGGGCAAAGUGACUGCAGUCACUUCGGCUCUGUCGACCGAAGAGCGUGCAUCAGGAUAAGGUGUCAGGCGAUCCUUGCAUUGAAUGCUCCUGCGAUCCGGUCGGUUGGCGUGGCGAUCUGGCCAAGGUUGCUUCUCUGCGAAGCCUGCCCGAGCUGGGCCUCGGGCGAGUCGAAGGUGCGCCCGUUGCUUGAGGAGACCCUCGGGCGAGACGUGAAUCCUCCUGGGUCGGCUAUCUUUGCCCGAGGCUGGGCUCGGGCGAGGCGAGAUCGUGUCCCUUGAGUGGACGGAGCCUUGACCUGAAUUGCGCCCAUCAGGCCUUUGCAGCUUUGUGCUGAUGGGGGUUACCAGCUGAGAUUAGGAGUCUUGGGGGUACCCCUAAUUAUGGUCCCCGACACAUGUCUUGUGGGUAAAGGUUACAACCUCUACAGAGUGUAAAACUGGACUUGGUAUUUACUUACAUCUAGUAAUUGCUAAUAAAAUUUGACCAACUUAUUAAAAGCAAUGGUCAGUUUUAACCCCUAAUAUUGAUCAGCCUUACACUUCACAUGAACUCCCACCUUUGGUGAGUUCAUGCACAUUAUUCCCCACAACUUGUUAAGCUAUGAUCUUUUGUGAGCUCACCCUUGCGAUAUAUAAACCCCCCCAUAGGUGAAGAGCAGGUAUCCCAGGAGGAAGACUACUACGAGGAAUAAUUAUUAGUUCGCUUUAUUGUUAUCAUUUAUUUUUGUAAGACACUUCCACAAUGUUAUAAUGUUUGUGACAUUUAACUCUAUACACUUGGUCAUUAUAUGUGUUAUUCUUCUUUGGCGCACAUAUGAGACUUACCUGAUUUUACCCCUUAAAUUCGGGUGUGACAGAGAGAAUAUUAAGACAGUGCAGUCUAGAUAGUGAAGCUAUGCUAACACUAGAAGAAGAGAGCUAGGUUUUGAAGUGGGAGAUUAUGUUUACCUGACAGUGUCACCAUUCAGAGGAAUCAAAAGGUUUGGAGUCAAGGGCAAGCUAGCACCUCAAUACAUCGGACUGUACCAGAUUCAGGCAAGACAUGGAGAAGUGGCAUACCAACUUAGGGUGUGUUUGGUUUGGCUUUUGGCUUUGGCUUUUACCCCCUAAAAGCCAAAAGCCAAACCAAAGGGCUGGAUCUAGGAAGCAGCUUUUUCUAAAAGCCGACGUUCUUGUAGUGCAAAACUGAAAGCACCUCUGGACCUGCUUUUAGCGGCUUUUGGAUGGAACUGUGAAAAUAUAUAUGGAAAAACUUUUAGCGACUUUUAGUGGUUUCCACCAAACACUUUUUAGCUUUUAACAGCUCACAACCCACAGCAGCUUUUCUCACAGCUCAUAGCUCACAGCAGCUUUUUUCACAGCCACAGCCCAACCAAACAGACUCUUAGCCUACCAGAAAGUCUUUCAGCCGUGCAUGAUGUGUUCCAUGUGUCCCAUCUGAAGAAGUGUUUGCGAGUACUAGAAGAGCAAUUGCCAACUGAGGAUCUCGAGGUUCAAGAAGACUUAACAUACAUCGAGAAGCCAACUCAGAUUCUAGAGACAGCAGACAGAGUCACUCGAAGAAACACCAUCAGGAUGUGUAAAGUCAAGUGGGGCCAUCAUUCAGAGGAAAAAGUAACUAGGGAAAGAGAAAAUGAUCUGAAAGCUAAAUAUCCCGAGCUCUUUGCUAGCCAACCCUAAAUCUCGAGGGUGAGAUUCUUUUUAAGGUGGAUAGGUUUGUAACGCAUUGAAUUUGGGGGUAUAAAAUUUCUUCUCUAAUGCCUACCAAAUUCAGGAAUAAUUAUUAGUUCGCUUUAUUGUUAUCAUUUAUUUUUGUAAGACACUUCCACAAUGUUAUAAUGUUUGUGACAUUUAUCUCUAUACACUCAGAUUCUAGAGACAGCAGACAGAGUCACUUGAAGAAGCACCAUCAGGAUGUGUAAAGUCAAGUGGGGCCAUCAUUCAGAGGAAGAAGUAACUAGGGAAAGAGAAGAUGAUCUGAAAGCUAAAUAUCCCGGGCUCUUUGCCAGGCAACCCUGAAUCUCGAUGGCGAGAUUCUUUUUAUGGGGAAUAGGUUUGUAACACCCUGAAUUUGGGGGUAUAUAAUUUCUUCUCUAAUAAUUAUUCCUUUUGUUAGAAUUAUGUCUACUAAGUGGGAGAUUAAUUAUUUCUUUACUUUAUCAAAACCUAUGGGAGUCAUGAAAUGUUGCAUUAUGCUCUGCCUAGAUUAUUCCUUUUUGUUUGGUGCACAUGUUUGAAUUGUUUGAAUUUGAAUUAUGGUUGAAUUUGAUUUGAAUUCCAUAGAGAAAAAAAAGGAAAAAGCAUUUAGAAAUUCAGGAAAAUAGAAAAAACCGUUUUCGGCCCAGAUCAGCCCAGCCCGCUCUCCCUAACAGGUGGGCCCCGCUUGUCAGCGUCAGUCGCGCAUGCGCGCUCUCACCCUCUGCCUGGUGGGGCCAGCCUGUCAGCGCCAACUUCCCCUCCCUCACGCGCCCGCUUCCUCCCUCUGUCCGGUCGGUUUGCCCUGUCAGAGCUAACCGCCCGUUCAUGAGUUCUCUCUCGCUGGCCCGCGGACCCCACCCGUAAGCCCCCUCCGCUUCCCUAAUCUCCUACCCGCACACCUCGACGUGGACGUGCCCACGUCGUGCUUCUCCCAGCCACCUCCCACGUGCCCGGCCCUUUUUGAGUCCGCACCCCCACUCACUCACUCCCCUCGCCCAGUAGCGCCCCUCUGCAGAGCUCUCACACCUCUCCCUCGCACAGCGCACGCCCGAGGAGCGCCAUAGCCGUCCGCCGUGACCUCGGGUCCGUUCCGCGGUUGUCGUCGAGCCUCUGCCGUGUUCGUUGCUCCGGUGAGCUCCGUGUCCUCGCCAUCAACUUAGGACACCUCUUGGUUUGCCCCUAACCCCUCUAUCCCUCUUUGCUCGCGCUCACCUGACUCUUUGCCAUGCAGACGUGUCACCGCCAGCGUCGACUCGGGGCCCCACUCUGUUCUCGCCGUCGCUCAAGAGCUCCAGAGCCGUCUCUCGAGGUAACCCAACUCCCCAUGCCCCUGAUUUCCCAUUCCCUACCUUGUUCCUCGCGCAAUCGCUAGCCAGAGUAGGCUAGCGCCACCGCCGGUCCACUCUGCCGCAGACCAGUACCCUCCGGUGCCUCUGUGCCAAUGUCGUGCCCACGUCCACGUUCGCCGUAUCACCCUAAAACUGUCCAGGACCCCCGGCUUGGUCGCGCCCUCACCUCCGGUGAAACUCCGUAGUCGAGUCGGGCGGCGCGGCCGCUGGCAGCCCAGCAAAUCUGCCCAGGCUCAUCAUUAGAUCUCGGGCGUCCAUCUGAGAUCUAAUGGCCUGGCUUUAAAUAAACCAAAUAUGAUCCUAGUCAUCCGAUGGAGAUCUAGCCGCUUGGGCGUGCGCCCCGCCCACGCCCCUACACCUAGGCCCAGCCGGUCAGCCAGUCCCGCCCCAGCGCCGCUGACAACCCUGGACCGCCUGUCAGCGCUCGUCCGCGCGCUCGCGCUCAGAUCUGACCUCAGUUGUUUGUCUGCAAUGGCUGAGAACACUUCGUACCCCUUCACGUGGUCUUUUUGUUAAAGAGACCCUCAGCUUUUUAGAAAUCAACCCACUGUCCCUUGUUUUCGUGCUCAAGCCCCUGAGUUUGUAGAGAAGCCCCUGGACUUUAUUUUUAUCACGGAAAUAGGCCUAGUUUUGUAUUUUCAAUUCCAAAACUUGUUUAUUUCAUAUCUUUUGCAUAUGAACUCCAAAUUGGGUGGUUCAAAUUGCAAAAUGUUCAUAAGAUUAUUCUCGAUCUGUUUAAGUUAUAAUCUUUCACUGUCUGCAUGUAUUAAUUUUUUGUCUAGGUUAUAGGUGCAUGUAAAGUAAUGGUUUAUUUAUUAAAAAGGGAAAACACUAGUGAUAAUUAAGUGAUUAACUUUGUGAAGUUAAUAUCAUGUAACAUAUGGUCUCAUCUCUAGAAUAACUUCAAUUUUGUAAUUAAGUCAUUAAGGUAAAUGAGGUUAAGUUAUGUAAUCUAUUGAGAUAAGCAGUACUUAGAGAACCACAAACCUCUAGGUGUAUUAGUCCACCCUUGGACCUAGACUUCACUUUUGUAUUUAUACUUUUCUUUUGAACUUGUGUUCACUUGGUUGGGCAUGUUUGAUGUAUUGUUUCUUUGUCAUUAUCUAAAUGUGUUGAAUGGAUGAUCGCUUUGUGUAGACAAUGAGCAAUCCAUGAUUCCUGAGUGUGUUGUCGGAGACUUCCCUAAGCAGCAACCUGGUGAAGGCAAGUGUCCUCUGACCCAUUAUGUCCUACUUACUUUAUAAUUCAUUGUCCUGCAUUACUUAAUUGAAACCUAAGGAUUGACUAGUUUAUAUUCACCUUGUCCUUGAUUACCUUUUGGGUUAUUAUAGUUAGCUUCAUGCUAUUACUCUACUUUAAUCAACGAACAUGAUGUGAAUAUUUAUGAUACGAUGUUGUUAUCUUGAUUAUAAUGAUGAAUUUGUGAUACCUUAGGGGACUUAGGCUGUUUCUUGAGUACCUCUCCAUAAGGACCUGUUCGUUGAGAGACCACCCAGGAUAACAAUACAACCAUGAGGGUGGAAUGGGACACCCUUGGUUGAUUAAUAGAGAAACUUGAGGUGUAGUCGGCUUCAUCGUAGGGCCGUCAAAGGAGUCCGGGCAUAGUACUUGCUCUGCCGAGGCUAGUUGACGAGGUUCUUUCAAUUUGGUUUUGUUAGUCACCCUUCCUGUGGGGAGAAGUAGUGUGUUUAUCAAACUAGAGAAACCUAACGAGCGGCUACGACCUCUAGGAAAUCUUUGUAAAGGCUGCAUAGUGAAUCCUUGGCCAUUCACCUCGGUAGUGAAGAUCGGGUCUGUACAACCCAGGCUAGAAAGGGAUCACGACUCGUGGGUAAAGUGUGCAACCUCUGCAGAGUGUUAGAAACCGGUAUAUCAGUCGUGCUCAUGGUUAAGAGCAACUAUGGGAUCCUCUUUGAUUAGAAUAAUUUUUGGAUACUUUUAUGUUGAUGGUAAAUGGUGAUGAUUAUAGCUAUGGUUUCUUGUAUUUCCUCUAGGAGGGAGUACUUUUGGGUAAUAACUAGGUUUAUUACUAAAACUUGGCUUUCUACUAGUAAUAAAUACCUGGCCAACUAAAAGCAACUACUUUAACCUUAACUCCACAUACAGCUAGUCCACUUUAGCCAAACAGGACAUUUGCUGAGUACAUUGAUGUGUACUCACCCUUGCUUUAAACCCCCCCAACCCAGGAUGUCCCCACUGUAAUCAGUGCUCAUGAAGAGAUGAAGGCAACACGAAGGACUUUGAGGAGUUUCAGGACUACGAUGAGUUCUAGUUGUGUUUAGUGGCAACCCCUAGUCAGCUGCCUGUGAAAGCCUUAUAUUUUAUGUUUCGUAUCCGUACUUUGAUUAUGUUAAUGACUAUGUUAAGUUAAUGACUCUGUGGAUGUCAUGGACAUCUUGAUGUAAUAAAGUACUAUUUCCGCUAUUUAUUUUUAGCAAUGUGUGAUGA